rnacentral:miRNA from 1 species
AAUUUAUUGGUUAAAAUGAAAGUAAACUUUAUUUAAGACUGUAUCAAAUUUUACCUUGUUAAAGUUACAGUGUUUAAAAAGUAAUUUACAUGGGCAGUUUCACAUUUGCUAAACUUCAAGUACAAUUCAUUGGAGAAACUAUAUAAAUGAUUAAGAUAACAAAAAUUAA